rnacentral:rRNA from 1 species
UACGUAGGGUGCGAGCGUUAAUCGGAAUUACUGGGCGUAAAGCGUGCGCAGGCGGUUUUGUAAGCCAGAUGUGAAAUCCCCGGGCUCAACCUGGGAACUGCAUUUGGGACUGCAAGGCUUGAGUGCGGCAGAGGAGACUGGAAUUCCUGGUGUAGCAGUGAAAUGCGUAGAUAUCAGGAGGAAUACCGAUGGCGAAGGCAGGUCUCUGGGCUGACACUGACGCUCAUGCACGAAAGCGUGGGGAGCAAACAGG